rnacentral:rRNA from 1 species
UCAGGACGAACGCUGGCGGCGUGCCUAAUACAUGCAAGUCGAGCGGAGAUAGUGGAGCUUGCUCCAUUAUCUUAGCGGCGGACGGGUGAGUAACACGUGGGCAACCUGCCCUGCAGAUCGGGAUAACUCCGGGAAACCGGUGCUAAUACCGAAUAGUUUGCGGCCUCUCAUGAGGCUGCACGGAAAGACGGUUUCGGCUGUCACUGCAGGAUGGGCCCGCGGCGCAUUAGCUAGUUGGUGAGGUAACGGCUCACCAAGGCCACGAUGCGUAGCCGACCUGAGAGGGUGAUCGGCCACACUGGGACUGAGACACGGCCCAGACUCCUACGGGAGGCAGCAGUAGGGAAUCUUCCGCAAUGGACGAAAGUCUGACGGAGCAACGCCGCGUGAGUGAAGAAGGUUUUCGGAUCGUAAAACUCUGUUGUGAGGGAAGAACAAGUACCAACUAACUACUGGUACCUUGACGGUACCUCACCAGAAAGCACGC